GACGAACGCUGGCGGCGUGCCUAAUACAUGCAAGUAGAACGCUGAAGGAGGAGCUUGCUUCUCUGGAUGAGUUGCGAACGGGUGAGUAACGCGUAGGUAACCUGCCUGGUAGCGGGGGAUAACUAGUGGAAACGAUAGCUAAUACCGCAUAACAGUAGAUAUCGCAUGAUAUCUACUUGAAAGGUGCAAUUGCAUCACUACCAGAUGGACCUGCGUUGUAUUAGCUAGUUGGUGAGGUAACGGCUCACCAAGGCGACGAUACAUAGCCGACCUGAGAGGGUGAUCGGCCACACUGGGACUGAGACACGGCCCAGACUCCUACGGGAGGCAGCAGUAGGGAAUCUUCGGCAAUGGACGGAAGUCUGACCGAGCAACGCCGCGUGAGUGAAGAAGGUUUUCGGAUCGUAAAGCUCUGUUGUAAGAGAAGAACGGGUGUGAGAGUGGAAAGUUCACACUGUGACGGUAUCUUACCAGAAAGGGACGGCUAACUACGUG
rnacentral:rRNA from 1 species